CCUACGGGAGGCUGCAGUGAGGAAUAUUGGUCAAUGGGCGGACGCCUGAACCAGCCAAGUCGCGUGAGGGAAGACUGCCCUAUGGGUUGUAAACCUCUUUUGUCAGGGAGCAAGUGGCGCUACGUGUAGCGUUAUCGAGAGCACCUGAAGAAAAAGCAGCGGCGAACUCCGUGCCAGCAGCCGCGGUAAUACGGAGGAUGCGAGCGUUAUCCGGAUUGAUUGGGUUUAAAGGGUGCGUAGGCGGAAUGCCAAGUCAGCGGUAAAAUCGCGGGGCUCAACCUCGCUCCGCCGUUGAAACUGGCGUUCUUGAGUGGGCUAGAGGUAUGCGGAAUGCGUGGUGUAGCGGUGAAAUGCAUAGAUAUCACGCAGAACUCCGAUUGCGAAGGCAGCAUACCGGCGCCCAACUGACGCUGAGGCACGAAAGCGUGGGUAUCGAACAGGAUUAGAUACCCCUGUAGUC
rnacentral:rRNA from 1 species